rnacentral:lncRNA from 1 species
GGAACACAAAAGCAUGGAGAUACACGUCCCACAAUAUAAAACUCAGUUUUCUGCUGCUUUCCCAUCAACAAACACUGCUUUCUAAAAUUAGGUUUUUCGGAAUUUUUUAGAAUUAACCUAAAUUUUUGAUUAAUUAUGAAAAUUACUCAACUUAAAAAUCAUGUAUGUGAAUAAUCCAUUUCCUAUAAUUUUUGCCGGUGCCGCCAGACACAUCGAUGGCACUAACCCCUUCUUCAACCAAUGAUUGCAUUAAAAAAACAAUUUUUC